rnacentral:rRNA from 1 species
CAGCCGCCGCGGUAAUUCANAGGNGGNAAGCGUUGUUCGGAUUNACUGGGCGUAAAGGGUGCGUAGGCGGUUCUGUGUGUCNGGUGUGAAAUCCCACGGAUUAUCCGUGGAACGGCAUUCGAAACUACNGGGCUAGAGUGCGGGAGAGGAAGGUAGAAUUCUCGGUGUAGCGGUGAAAUGCGUUGAUAUCGAGAGGAAUGCCGGUGGUGAAGACGACCUUCUGGAACGCUACUGACGCUGAGGCACGAAAGCUAGGGGAGCAAACAGGAUUAGAUACCCUGGUAGUCCUAGCCGUAAACGAGUGUGCACUUGAUGUGAGGAGGAAUUAUCNCCUUCUGUGUCGUAGCUAACGCGAUAAGUGCACCGCCUGGGGAGUACGGUCGCAAGAUUAAAACUUAAAGGAAUUGACGG